rnacentral:rRNA from 1 species
CCUACGGGUGGCUGCAGUGGGGAAUAUUGGACAAUGGGCGAAAGCCUGAUCCAGCCAUGCCGCGUGUGUGAAGAAGGCCUUCGGGUUGUAAAGCACUUUCAGUGGGGAAGAAAGCCUUGGGGCUAAUACCCUCGAGGAAGGACAUCACCCACAGAAGAAGCACCGGCUAACUCCGUGCCAGCAGCCGCGGUAAUACGGAGGGUGCGAGCGUUAAUCGGAAUUACUGGGCGUAAAGCGCGCGUAGGCGGUCUGAUAAGCCGGUUGUGAAAGCCCCGGGCUCAACCUGGGAACGGCAUCCGGAACUGUCAGGCUAGAGUGCAGGAGAGGAAGGUAGAAUUCCCGGUGUAGCAGUGAAAUGCGUAGAGAUCGGGAGGAAUACCAGUGGCGAAGGCGGCCUUCUGGACUGACACUGACGCUGAGGUGCGAAAGCGUGGGUAGCAAACAGGAUUAGAUACCCCUGUAGUC